GACGAACGCUGGCGGCGUGCCUAAUACAUGCAAGUCGAGCGCGGGAAGCUAACUGAAACCUUCGGGUGGACGUUAGUGGAACGAGCGGCGGACGGGUGAGUAACACGUGGGUAACCUGUCUGUAAGACUGGGAUAACUCCGGGAAACCGGGGCUAAUACCGGAUAACACCUCGGAUCGCAUGAUCCGAAGUUGAAAGAUGGUUCUGCUAUCACUUACAGAUGGACCCGCGGCGCAUUAGCUAGUUGGUGAGGUAAUGGCCCACCAAGGCGACGACGGGUAGCCGGCCUGAGAGGGCGACCGGCCACACUGGGACUGAGACACGGCCCAG
rnacentral:rRNA from 1 species